rnacentral:rRNA from 1 species
GUGGGGAAUUUUGGACAAUGGGCGAAAGCCUGAUCCAGCCAUGCCGCGUGCAGGAUGAAGGCCUUCGGGUUGUAAACUGCUUUUGUACGGAACGAAAAGACUCUGGUUAAUACCUGGGGUCCAUGACGGUACCGUAAGAAUAAGCACCGGCUAACUACGUGCCAGCAGCCGCGGUAAUACGUAGGGUGCAAGCGUUAAUCGGAAUUACUGGGCGUAAAGCGUGCGCAGGCGGUUAUAUAAGACAGAUGUGAAAUCCCCGGGCUCAACCUGGGAACUGCAUUUGUGACUGUAUAGCUAGAGUACGGCAGAGGGGGAUGGAAUUCCGCGUGUAGCAGUGAAAUGCGUAGAUAUGCGGAGGAACACCGAUGGCGAAGGCAAUCCCCUGGGCCUGUACUGACGCUCAUGCACGAAAGCGUGGGGAGCAAACAGGAUUAGAUACCCGUGUAGUCC